rnacentral:rRNA from 1 species
UCCAGACUCCUACGGGAGGCAGCAGUGAGGAAUAUUGGUCAAUGGGCGAGAGCCUGAACCAGCCAAGUCGCGUGAGGGAGUACUGCCCUAUGGGUUGUAAACCUCUUUUGUCGGGGAGCAAAAGCCGGACGUGUCCGUCUGUGAGAGUACCCGAAGAAAAAGCAUCGGCUAACUCCGUGCCAGCAGCCGCGGUAAUACGGAGGAUGCGAGCGUUAUCCGGAUUUACUGGGUGUAAAGGGAGCGUAGACGGUUAUGUAAGUCUGGAGUGAAAGCCCGGGGCCCAACCCCGGGACUGCUUUGGAAACUGUGUAACUGGAGUACAGGAGGGGCAGGCGGAAUUCCUGGUGUAGCGGUGAAAUGCGUAGAUAUCAGGAGGAACACCGGCGGCGAAGGCGGCCUGCUGGACUGAAACUGACGUUGAGGCUCGAAAGCGUGGGGAGCAAACAGGAUUAGAUACCCGUGUA